rnacentral:rRNA from 1 species
UACGUAGGGGGCAAGCGUUGUCCGGAAUUAUUGGGCGUAAAGGGCGCGUAGGCGGCUUUUCAAGUGACGGGUGAAAUCCCUCAGCUUAACUGGGGAACUGCGUGUGAUACUGGAUGGCUUGGAUUUGGGAGAGGGAUGCGGAAUUCCAGGUGUAGCGGUGAAAUGCGUAGAUAUCUGGAGGAACACCGGUGGCGAAGGCGGCAUCCUGGACCAAUAUUGACGCUGAGGAGCGAAAGCCAGGGGAGCAAACGGG